CUGAGUCGGGGACUUCCUCCUUCUUAUCCACCACCGGAGCAGUUUUUUCAUCCAAGCACCUAUAAUUUUGAUGGUUCGUGCUUGCUGAACUCCGGAGUCGUUCAUAUGACUUGCACCGGCUUGCAGAAGGAGACCUUGAAUUUUUUGAAGAAAUCUGGUCCUUUGAUAAG